rnacentral:rRNA from 1 species
GACGAACGCUGGCGGCGUGCCUAAUACAUGCAAGUAGAACGAGUUGCGAACGGGUGAGUAACGCGUUGUAACCUGCCUCAUAGCGGGGGAUCACUAUUGGAAACGAUAGCUAAUACCGCAUACUGUGAGAUGGACCUGCGUUGUAUUAGCUAGUUGGUGAGGGAAAGGCUCACCAAGGCGACGAGACAUAGCAGAACUGAGAGGGUGACCAGCCACACUGGAACUGAGACACGGUCCAGACUCCUACGGGAGGCAGCAGUGGGGAAUAUUGCACAAUGGGCGCAAGCCUGAUGCAGCCAUGCCGCGUGUAUGAAGAAGGCCUUCGGGUUGUAAAGUACUUUCAGCGAGGAGGCGUUACUCGCAGAAGAAGCACCGGCUAACUCCGUGCCAGCAGCCGCGGUAAUAC